rnacentral:misc_RNA from 1 species
GUGAAUCAUCAAAUCUUUGAACGCAAAUUGCGCCUUUUUCGAAAGGCAUGUCUGUUUGAGUGCACCAUUUAACAAAUAAUGUGCAGUCAUCUUUGCUGCACACGUCGAUGAUCUUUCCAAGAAUUUUAACUUUCUGGUGGCGCAUAAUGAACGGCGUGAAAGUUUUUUUCAGUUCGAGUGUAGUAAAAUCGUUGCUUGGGUUGUGAAAAAACAUAAUCGCGCAAUGUGUAUGGCAAUUCCUUUUGAUCCAUGCCCCAAUC